GACGAACGCUGGCGGCGUGCUUAACACAUGCAAGUCGAACGGAAAGGCCCUGCUUGCAGGGUACUCGAGUGGCGAACGGGUGAGUAACACGUGGGUGAUCUGCCCUGCACUUCGGGAUAAGCCUGGUAAACUGGGUCUAAUACCGGAUAGGAGCCAUUUUUAGUGUGAUGGUUGGAAAGUUUUUUCGGUGUAGGAUGAGCUCGCGGCCUAUCAGCUUGUUGGUGGGGUAAUGGCCUACCAAGGCGGCGACGGGUAGCCGGCCUGAGAGGGUGGACGGCCACAUUGGGACUGAGAUACGGCCCAGACUCCUACGGGAGGCAGCAGUGGGGAAUAUUGCACAAUGGGCGCAAGCCUGAUGCAGCGACGCCGCGUGGGGGAUGACGGCCUUCGGGUUGUAAACUCCUUUCGCUAGGGACGAAGCUUUUUGUGACGGUACCUAGAUAAGAAGCACCGGCUAACUACGUG
rnacentral:rRNA from 1 species